CUAAAGGGUUAAAUCUAAAGGGUUUAAUCUAAAGGGUUUAAUCUAAAGGGUUAAAUCUAAAGGUUUAAUCUAAAGGGUUUAAUCUAAAGGGUUCCGUACUGUUAGAACGUACAGAUAUGUUUAAAUAGUUGAUCAUGUGGUUGGAUUCCAGUGCCAUAAAUGUGUCUGACCUCAGAAACAGGAGUUAUUUCAACCAAAUGAAUGUUGUUGUUGUUGUUGUUUUUCUUCUUGUGAAAACGCGGUGGUCUGUGUUGGACGUGAAUGUCGGCUUUUCUGCUGAACCUGUUGCCGCUGUGCCCUUGGACGCUCCACAGCUCAUGUAUGAACAGUUUUUUCACGUCACUGCUGGAUGGUUUGUUUGUCGUCUGUUUUCCUCUGACACUACAUGAAGAAUGGCCGUGUGGUGGAACAGCUGUGGGAGCUGCUGUGAAACAAACACAUGUAAAAGAAAGUGCAUCUGAUGGAUGUGGAACUGACACCCAGUGUUUUCUGUUGGUGUUAAUUGGACUUUGAAGUUUCAUUAAACUUAUUCAACAUGAAGUGAA